GUUCUGGUUGUAUAUUGGUGAGUGUACGCGCCUGUCAUGAACGGACAUCCGCGCGAAAGCUGGGUUCGACUCCCAGCCAGCG